UCGAGUCCGAUAAGGCCGAUAUGAACGUGGAAACCUUCUACGAUGGGUAUCUCGCCUCAAUCAUGGUCGAAGAGGGAGGCGUCGCCCCCGUGGGCUCGGCGAUUGCGUUGCUCGCCGAGACCGAGGCCGAGAUCGAGCAGGCCAGGUCAAAGGCCCAACCUUCCUCCUCCUCAUCCGAAACCCUAGAUUCAUAUUCCCCUCCGGCGCAGCAAGAAGCCCUAGAUUCAGAAAGGGAAUUUCCGAGGGAAGACAAGGAAGGGAGGCACAAAAUUUAGUGCGUGUGUAUCUGGAAAAUUUGCGGCCUAAGGAAGUUGGUACGGAUGUGCUGAUUACUGCCUAUGAACCUGUCUUAAUCAAGAACUUGAAUUUGAUUAUCUUGGAAGCAUAGAGCAACUUGUCAUGAGGUUACAAGCAAACUGGAAUAUUUAAACAGUUGUUCCCUUCUUUAUUUUCUUUCACAUUUUCCUCUCUUUUCAUUGUGUUUCUUUUUUUCCUCCAUGGAUUACAAGCAAACUGGAAUAUGUAAACAGGUCUUUGAGUGUUGACUUAGAACUGGAAAUGAAUGUAACUAUUUUGUAAUGGGAGCAAAUUCUUUGUUUAUCAUACUAUACAACUUGUUUGGAGUAUAAUUUGA